rnacentral:tRNA from 1 species
AGGGAUUUAUUUUUAAUAGAAUAUAUAAUUUGCAAUUAUAAGGUUUUUCUCUA